CAACCUUCUUGUUGAUGAGCUGCGUUUUCGUUUUGUAAAGCAUUCAAACCAUGUAAACAAAUAGACAUGAACACAGCAUGCUGUGUGCUUUAUUGUACACUGCUGGCAUUCAUUCUGUCCAGCCCAGUCUUCGUCUAUUUGUGGCAUGUGAGAGCUUCAAUGACAUGAAAAGAUUGGUCCUGGAGAAUCUUCAUUCAUGACUGCAGUGAACCUUUCCCAUUUCAUGGUUCAUGGGGUCAAGGUAACAUUUCUUGUUUUCUGAUGUUGGGCACUGAGUUGCGUAGUGCUAUUCCAACUUGUCCAUAAGUGUAUGUGGUGACUCGUCUGUUCUAACAGAUUAGGGUAUUUUUCCAACUACCAAACACAUUAACUCUCUUUUGUUUGUGUGAACCUUCUGGGCACGGGCCCAUUGUGUCUGACUCCUUGAAUAUGCUGCCAGUAGCCAUGGCGUGGUGGACACAGUGAAUGCAAUUGCAUAACAACUAGAGCUAUUCCUUACGCCACCCCCUGGAAAAAAAGCCACACUGUUGCAAAGCUGCUCAUAACUUUGAUGUUUACUAAUUCACGUCUGAACACUAGCUGUCCUUGCUUCAUGUUUUGUGUGGAUGCAUGAGAAUCAUUUAUGGUGCUAAAUUAUGAUUGAUGGGAGGCCUGCCCUAAUGCAAAGUUUUUAUAGGGAUUACCAAAGUGGCUUCCAGGAUAACAUCCACAUCUGCAGGUAUGAAUGAUUUCUCUGCUGUCUUCAUUUUGGUGCAGUAGCUGCACGAGCAACGUGGAGGCGGAAAAUUUCCUCGCAACGAGAACUCUGGUACAUAUUUUUUUGCUUGCAGAUGUUGAGGCACCAAGCCCGCACAGGAGUGAUCCAGUGUGUUGUACAGCUGCAUUGGAUUGUCUUCCAGCCCUGGCAGAUGAACAAAGUCCAGUCCGAGGUGACGAGAGCGAGAGUGUAAAUGAGAGCACCUGUUCCCUGGCUCCACCUAAAGGGGCUCCAACCGACAGCCACAAACAACCUCUGACAGCAGAGACUCCAUGCUCUACUGUCCACGGUGAGAUGCGCUUCAUUGGCACCAGUUGCUUAGUG
rnacentral:lncRNA from 1 species